rnacentral:lncRNA from 1 species
UGCUUUUAGGGGUGGUGUGGCGGGUGCCAUGGAAGUGGUAAUGCAUGUGUUGAUGCAGGGAUUAUGCAAGCUGAAACUUGUUCUCAGGGGCCAUGUCAGAUGUGUGAGAAUACCUGGACUCCUGGUUUUCCUCCAUAGUAAAGGGGUGUUCUCCCACUCUCUACAAGUCUCUUCAUGCCAGAGGGUUUUCAAGACUCCCAUUUAGUGGCCAGGAGGAUUUCAUUGGGUUUCUUUCUGUGACUGCCUUCUCCACUGUAAUUGGGUGACCCAGCGAGUUUGGACCUGCCCAGGGGUGUUUUAGAGAUGCCCUUUUACGGCCUGAUUCCUUUAGACCCACAGAUGUGAUUAGCGAACUGUUGAUGUAAUGUUUGUGCUAAUGUAAUAAGCUCCAAGUUGCUUAUUUCUUGGCAAGUAUGUUUAUACACUG